rnacentral:pre_miRNA from 1 species
GAUAUACUCCCUCUGUCCGGAAAUACUUGUCGGAGAAAUGGAUGUAUCUAGACAUAUUUUAGUUCUAGAUACAUCCAUUUUUAUGCAUUUCUGUGACAAGUAUUUCUGGAUGGAGGGAGUAUUUG